GACACCAUAGCCAAGUGGUUACGGCGACAGAUUCGAACACGCCCGUGCCGAAAUUAUCUGUUGGGGUUUCCCCGCGUAGGUUCGAAUCCUGCUGGUGUCG